rnacentral:snRNA from 1 species
AUCGCUUCUUGGCCUUUUGGCUAAGAUCAAGUGUAGAAAUUGAUAAAUGAUAAAAAUUUAUACCUAGAAAUACAUUUA